rfam:Triticum urartu cultivar G1812 contig790953, whole genome shotgun sequence.
CUUCUAUUACCUCCGUCCCAAAAAGCUUGUCUUACAUUUAUCUAAAUACAGAUGUAACACUAAAAUCCGCAUGUAGACAGAUCUAAGACAAGCUUUUUGAGACGGUACAUCCGUAUCUUCACAAAUCUAAAACAAGCUUUUUGGGACGGAGGGAGUAUGAA